rnacentral:rRNA from 1 species
GACGAACGCUGGCGGCGUGCUUAACACAUGCAAGUCGAACGGAAAGGCCCUGCUUGCGGGGUACUCGAGUGUCGAACGGGUGAGUAACACGUGGGUGAUCUGCCCUGCACUUCGGGAUAAGCCUGGGAAACUGGGUCUAAUACCGGAUAGGAGCCAUUUUUAGUGUUAUGGUUGGAAAGUUUUUUCGGUGUAGGAUGAGCUCGCGGCCUAUCAGCUUGUUGGUGGGGUAAUGGCCUACCAAGGCGGCGACGGGUAGCCGGCCUGGGAGGGUGGACGGCCAAAAUGGGACUGAGAUACGGCCCAGACUCCUACGGGAGGCAGCAGGGGGGAAUAUUGCAAAAUGGGCGGAAGCCUGAUGCAGCGACGCCGCGUGGGGGAUGACGGCCUUCGGGUUGGAAACUCCUUUCGCUAGGGACGAAGCUUUUUGUGACGGUACCUAGAAAAGAAGCACCGGCUAACUAUGUG